GUGUGUGCACCCUUCACGCGGCGGGGAACUGACUCAAAGUCAAACACUCCCAGGCAUUUGCGGCGUGGCCGCCCGCCCUCCCGCCCGAGGGGGCGGACGCAGCCCCUCCGGCGGCGCCGGGAUCCCAGCUGAGCCCACGCUCACUCCCGGCCUCCCCCGAGCCAGCCGCUGGGGGCGUCGGCGCCACCCCCAGAGCUGCGGACCCCCGGGCCUGGAGGGUUUAGGACUGGGGUCGCCUCCCUGCUCCAAUCCCUUAUUGGAAUCCACCGCCGCGGGGAUGGGGGCCGGCUGUCCAACUUCAGCGCCAGAGGCCUGCGGCCCCCUUUCCUUCCGGCCAGCACCCCCUCCCCCUCGGUACGUGCACAAGGCGUCCAAGGCGUCGGAAAAAAGUCCCUGGGUGGCUUAUUAAUGACACGGGCAGGCAAAACAAAAAAAAAAACAAAAAACAAAAAACCACACGCGCUGCCCAGAAUUCCGACCCUGGUGGAGGAAAGUCCGAAGAAGAGGCAGCCGGCCGGGCAAAGAGGUCCUGGGAGAAAGGUGUCAAGAAAUCUUGGGGAGGCCCAGGCCGCUGGAGACAUCUCAGCUACCGAGGCUCCGAUUAGGAAGGGGUUCUGGGAGUGGAGAGGACAAAUUCUUGUCCUGCCGGCCCUGCUCAGAGAGGUGUGAGCGCCACUGGACCAGAGGUGGGGGCUGGGCCUCAGAGAGCCAAAGGGUCCCCACCCUGCAGGCAACUGUUGGACCUGGGACAGCCCGGUCCCCCCUCUGACUCCCAGACCAAGCCUGAUGCCUGUUCUCCUAGCGCCUGGAGACUCUGCCCUUCUCAAGACUUUGUGUCCCAGUGCAAGUAUCAGAAGACCUUGGCUUUGGGUCUGCAGCGCUGGCAGUCUUCCCUCUGGGGGCCCAACCUUCCUUGAGCACCUGCAAAUUCAGAUGUCCCCGGCUCCUCUUUGAAGCUUUCCCUGCCGCUUACAACCCCCUGCAGAUGCCUUCAUUCACCCAAGUCACUCUAUUGUGGUCAUUUACCUCACCUGCCUUUGCAUGUGUCUAGACGAGAAGCCGCUUGAGGGCCAGACCCAGGCCCUAGUCACAUCUACAUCCCAUCCACAUCCCGAACAGACAGCAGGAACCUCGGGACAGACCCAGCAGUGCUUGUGGGAGCCGGCGGGCCGUUUCGGCCUUCUUCUGCAGACCCCGUCUGGGAGGGGAUGGGGCGGCUGAGCCAUGUGUACCACCCUCUUCCUGCUCAGCACCUUGGCCAUGCUCUGGCGCCGCCGAUUCGCCAACCGGGUCCAACCAGAGCCCAGCGGACUCGAUGGGGCGGUCGUGGGCAGCAACGUGGACACAGACCUCCAGUCCUCAGGGAGAAAGAGCCUCCGAAGUAAGUCCUCAUCUCUUCAGGCAGAGCUCGGCCCCGGGGACUGCGAUCAGCUGGCAGAGGCAGGGCGCGGAUGUGACCACGGGGAGUACCUCGCCCAUCCCAAACGUGCGGUUGUGCGGAUGCGGGCAGGGUGGUCCUGGGCCAGGGCGCCCAAGGGGCCCUGGCCCAAGACUAGGUGGGCGUGGCUCCCGAUCUGAGGCAGGCACCAGGCGAGAGCAGGGCCCUGGCGGUUCCCAGGGACCCUCUAUAGGACGUCACUGUUAGGAAGAAGCCCAAGGCCUUGCGACAGUGGGAAGUAAUGCUUCUUUGCGAGCCCGAAAAGAAGGAAAAUGGCCAAGGUUUACGGAAUGGCCAGGCGUGUGUCUGUGUGAGCGCAUGUGCGCGCCCACACGCGUUUAUUGCCAUAUGCAGAAGCCGGCUGAACGAUGCAUUAAAAGAAAUUAUUUAACGUGUUCCUUGGCCAUCUAUUUAACAAGCACGUACCGGGAGCCUGCAACAUUACGCACCUUGUGGUAGGUGCCAGCGAUGAAGGGGGACAGUGCCCGACCUGCCAGUGAGGACGACAGAAAGAUCCUGGCCGAGGGAGCCCAGUCGCGCCUGCUCAGCCACUGCCUGGUCACAUGACCUUUCCUUCUCCCGGACCUCAGUCUCCCCAUUUACUAGGCAUGUGUUGAGUCGAACCCAAGUGGGCUGGUGCCAGGGUGGAAAGGACUCAUGACCACCCUCAGAGAAAGAACCGUCUGGUAAAAUGAAGGCGAUGGACCACUUGACCUCUGGGGGCCCUCCAGACUGUCCCGGUCAAAAGAGACUAUAAUGGACUGUCUUUGGAGAUGCUGGCAGUGAUCCGCCCACUCGGCAAAUGUUUAUGGAGCGCCUGUGUGCCAGGCACUGUGGAUGCAGAAAUGAAGAAUUCCUGCCACAGACAAUCAGGAAAUUGGGCCAAGCAGAAGAAACAGACGCUUGACAACAGGCAGCACACAGGCUGGUGACCCCAGGACUGUCUCGGCAUCUGCCUGUUCCCUGCCUGUGGCAGGGGGAGGGGAAACCAAGCGGACCGCAGUGGUCUUGUCCGGGUGAGGAGACGAGAUCAGAGCUCAAGAGAGUGUGGCGUUCCUAAGGAUAGGCACACGUCGGUGGGAUCCCCAAACAGACACGGGGAAGGUGAUCCGAUGGAGGAAAAAAAAAGCCCUCUGGAGAGAAUACAGAAAGCACUAACCGUCACAGAAACACGGAAAGAUUGGACUUGAUCGAAUUCUUGGAAAGACACUAUUUGCCAAGCAAAAAUCUGAGAAAGGACCUGUAUCCAAAAUAUACAAAGAAGUUUUACAAUUCGAUAGGAAGACAGCCCAGUGAAAGGGGGAGGGUUUUAAUAGACACUUCACAAGAAGGUAUACAUACGGCCAAUAAACGCAUAAAAAAAGAUACACAGUAGUGUGAGUCAUCAAGGAAAUUAAAUGCAAAUUAAAAAACAUGCAAAUGAAAACCACAUUGAGAUACUAGUGCACGCUCACAUGAAUGCGUAAGAAGACAGACCAUAACAGGCGUUGGUGAAGGUAUGGAGCAGCUGUUACCCUGGAAGACACUGCUGGGAAACCAGUUUGGCUGUUUCCUAGCAAGUUAUCCAAGAGGAAUGAAAACACAGGGCCACACCAAGGUUUGUACAGAGGUGUUCACAGCAGUGUUAUUAAUAACGGCUCCAAAGUGGAAACAACCCAAAUAUCCAUCAACAGGUGAAUGAAUAAACGAGGGCUGUACAGAAUUCUGGUCAGCGAUAAAAAGGCAACGAACCACUCUGUGGGCCACAACCCGGGGCACCGCGAGGAGCCAGGCACAAAAGAACACCCUCCUGUAUGAAUCUGUUUAUAGGAGAUUCUAGAACAGGCAGAACUAAUCUGCAGCGACAGAAAGCAGAUCAGUGGUUGCCUGGGGCCAGGGCUGGAUCUGGAGACUGUGAAAUAAAACCAGAGGUGCUCUUCAGGGCGAUGACAGGGUUCUAAAUCGUCACUGGGGUGGCGGUUACGCGGGUGUAUCACUUACUGGACUAUCGAAUCGUACAUUUUAAAUGGAUGCGUUUGAUUGUAUGUAAAUUACACCUCAAUAAAGAUGACUUAAAGAGUUAAAAAAAAAAA